CUUUAUAAAAAUCACAGAAAGAAAUUUAUAAAUAGCCUUUUCCACUGAUUUUGCAUUCUCAUUAUCCACCUGUCUAUUUAGAAGCCAUGUAACAUUCUCAUUAUCCACCAGUCUAUUUAGAAACCAGGUAACAUUCUCAUUAUCCACCAGUCUAUUUAGAAACCAGGUAACAUUCUCAUUAUCCACCAGUCUAUUUAGAAACCAGGUAAUAUUCUCAUUAUCCACCAGUCUAUUUAGAAACCAGGUAACAUUCUCAUUAUCCACCAGUCUAUUUAGAAACCAGGUAACAUUCUCAUUAUCCACCAGUCUAUUUAGAAACCAGGUAAUAUUCUCAUUAUCCACCAGUCUAUUUCAUGUAUGUAGAAGCCAGGUAAUAUUCUCAUUAUCCACCAGUCUAUUUAGAAACCAGGUAAUAUUCUCAUUAUCCACCAGUCUAUUUCAUGUAUGUAGAAGCCAGGUAACAUUCUCAUUAUCAAACCAGUCUAUUUAGAAACCAGGUAACAUUCUCAUUAUCCACCAGUCUAUUUAGAAGCCAGGUAAUAUUCUCAUUAUCCACCAGCCUAUUUAGAAGCCAGGUAACAUUCUCAUUAUCCACCAGUCUAAUUAGAAGCCAGGUAAUAUUCUCAUUAUCCACCAGUCUAUUUAGAAACCAGGUAACAUUCUCAUUAUCCACCAGUCUAUUUAGAAACCAGGUAACAUUCUCAUUAUCCACCAGUCUAUUUAGAAACCAGGUAACAUUCUCAUUAUCCACCAGUCUAUUUAGAAGCCAGGUAAAUAAGGUACUUCCAAAUCAAUGUUCAUCUCAUAGAUCUUACCUACAUAAAAAAUCAUUAACUCAACAUACAAAGA